AUUAAUAUGGCAGAAUAGUGCAAUGAAUUUAAGAUUCUUAUAUAAAAAUUAUAUUUUUUGUUAAUA
rnacentral:tRNA from 1 species